rnacentral:rRNA from 1 species
CGAGCAGGCGUGCAGGGGGCGUGGGGAAUGCGUGGGGGACAGGGGGUGGUCGGAAUUGUGUGGCGUCAAGCGGGGGUGGGGGGCGCGGUAAGGCAGGUGUGAAAGUCCAGGGCUCAACACUGGAGAGCCGGUUGAUGCUGGCGAGCUCGAGUCCGGAAGAGGUGAGUGGAAUUCCUGGUGGAGCGGUGAAAUGCGCAGAUAUCAGGAGGAACACCAAUGGCGAAGGCAGCUCACUGGGACGGUACUGACGCUGAGACGCGAAAGCGUGGGGAGCAAACAGGAUUAGAUACCCCAGUAGUC